rnacentral:rRNA from 1 species
CUAUAAGACUGGGAUAACUUCGGGAAACCGUAGCUAAUACCGGAUAAUAUUUUGAACCGCAUGGUUCAAAAGUGAAAGACGGUCUUGCUGUCACUUAUAGAUGGAUCCGCGCUGCAUUAGCUAGUUGGUAAGGUAACGGCUUACCAAGGCAACGAUGCAUAGCCGACCUGAGAGGGUGAUCGGCCACACUGGAACUGAGACACGGUCCAGACUCCUACGGGAGGCAGCAGUAGGGAAUCUUCCGCAAUGGGCGAAAGCCUGACGGAGCAACGCCGCGUGAGUGAUGAAGGUCUUCGGAUCGUAAAACUCUGUUAUUAGGGAAGAACAUAUGUGUAAGUAACUGUGCACAUCUUGACGGUACCUAAUCAGAAAGCCACGGCUAACUACGUGCCAGCAGCCGCGGUAAUACGUAGGUGGCAAGCGUUAUCCGGAAUUAUUGGGCGUAAAGCGCGCGUAGGCGGUUUUUUAAGUCUGAUGUGAAAGCCCACGGCUCAACCGUGGAGGGUCAUUGGAAACUGGAAAACUUGAGUGCAGAAGAGGAAAGUGGAAUUCCAUGUGUAGCGGUGAAAUGCGCAGAGAUAUGGAGGAACACCAGUGGCGAAGGCGACUUUCUGGUCUGUAACUGACGCUGAUGUGCGAAAGCGUGGGGAUCAAACAGGAUUAGAUACCCUGGUAGUCCACGCCGUAAACGAUGAGUGCUAAGUGUUAGGGGGUUUCCGCCCCUUAGUGCUGCAGCUAACGCAUUAAGCACUCCGCCUGGGGAGUACGACCGCAAGGUUGAAACUCAAAGGAAUUGACGGGGACCCGCACAAGCGGUGGAGCAUGUGGUUUAAUUCGAAGCAACGCGAAGAACCUUACCAAAUCUUGACAUCCUUUGACAACUCUAGAGAUAGAGCCUUCCCCUUCGGGGGACAAAGUGACAGGUGGUGCAUGGUUGUCGUCAGCUCGUGUCGUGAGAUGUUGGGUUAAGUCCCGCAACGAGCGCAACCCUUAAGCUUAGUUGCCAUCAUUAAGUUGGGCACUCUAAGUUGACUGCCGGUGACAAACCGGAGGAAGGUGGGGAUGACGUCAAAUCAUCAUGCCCCUUAUGAUUUGGGCUACACACGUGCUACAAUGGACAAUACAAAGGGCAGCGAAACCGCGAGGUCAAGCAAAUCCCAUAAAGUUGUUCUCAGUUCGGAUUGUAGUCUGCAACUCGACUACAUGAAGCUGGAAUCGCUAGUAAUCGUAGAUCAGCAUGCUACGGUGAAUACGUUCCCGGGUCUUGUACACACCGCCCGUCACACCACGAGAGUUUGUAACACCCGAAGCCGGUGGAGUAACCUUUUAGGAGCUAGCCGUCGAAGGUGGGACAAAUGAUUGGGGUGAAGUCGUAACAAGGUAGCCGUAUCGGAAGGUGCGGCUGGAUCACCUCCUUU